UGGGAAUUUACAUACAUAUGCACACAGAAAAAGAGGAGAAGACACGGAAAUAUAGAGGGAGAUAAAAGACGGUGGCUGGACGUGGAAAUUGAAGAUACACGCAGAAGGCUGAAAAUUGGAAGAAAAAGGGAAACUUUAAGUGGAAAAUUAAUCACUUGUCGUCAAAUCUCGGUGAUGUCUUUCCAGUUUUAUUUGUUUAAUCCCAACAUUAUGUUAGGCUAAAUAAUUUCAUGUAUUGGAUGUACAACAACAUUGUUUAAUUUUUAGUUUUAAAUCGAGACUUGGUAUUUUUAUUUUAAUUCAUGUAUUGUGAUUCCAUUGACAUGCUUAUUUACAUUGUUUUAACGUUUGCGCACCAUUAGGAUAAUAAGUUGCUUAUUCGUAGUGUUUGAAAACUUACGGUAGGUAGAACACUGUUAUUGGAACAAACAGGCAAUAAAUAUUAGGAAUAAUAUUUGUAGAGUGUGCGAUCUUAUGUGAUAAUUCUAAAUGUCAAUGCAUGUUUGUCAUAUGAAGUCGGACUAGGAAUAUGAUCGUCUUGUGGUAAUCAUAGGUUUAUUAUAUCUUGGGAAAGAAUAAUAAAUAAUAGUGGAAUUAUCGAUCAUCACAACUACAUAAAUUGAGAUAAUUAUUAUUGGUUGAGAAUUAGAAUUAAGAAUUGAUCAGUGACGUCGGAAAUCCAAUACGUUCGCACAUUUAAUUUUUACACUAACUUUCAUUGCUUUUACAAGUUUUAGUUAUAAAAAAAAAUUUAUUAUUUAGCUAUUCCUUCGAUUGUCGUUUCGUUACAAAUACGAAUUUAAAUAUAUCAAAUAUACUAAAAUUGAUCAUUAUUCCCUGUGGGACGAUGAGUCUCUCAUCACGAUUAUUACUUGUAUAACGAACCUGUACGCUUGCGGGAAUUUGACGAACAAGUUUUUGACGCCGUUGCCCGGGAAUAACGGUGUUAAUUUUAGUUAUUAGAUAUUUUAGAUUCUUUUUAUUUUUAUUUUUAGUUGUUUUUAGGCUACCAUUACACUUUUUAGGCGACUUUAGUUUAUGCAAAAUCCUGACGAGCCAGAUCUCUUUCCGAUAUACCACGAAAUCGAAAGACAUUUAGAAAUCACAGGAGAGUUCAACGCCAAGCAAAGAGAAUGGCUGACAAUCAAAAUCAACAGCAGAAUCAAGAUCAGCUUCAAGAGCAAAUACCACAGCCAAAUCAACAGAGAGCCAUCCAGAACGGAGCUUCUACCUUAGUUGGAGAUUACGUCAAACCAAUUCCCACACCAGUGCAACCUGCUGUGGUAUAUCCUCCCUUUGGACAACCUAAUUUUCACCUUCGACCAGAUGUCAUCAAUUUGUUUCAAAAUCACCAAGACAUCAGGUUCUUUGGAAAAGCCACGGAAAAUUCUCAUGAGCAUAUUUCUGCUUUUCUCAUGUUAUGUGAAGUGAUCAGUAAUGAAGGGAUAUCAGCAGAUGCAUUUUGAAUGCGAUUAUUUCCUCAUACCUUGAAGGACGCUGCUAGAGAAUGGUUUCUUUGUUUACCAUCAGGGAGCAUUCAGUCAUGGAACGAUAUGGUUCAAAAAUUCAUGAUGAAAUUCUUUCCACCUUCUCGGAUUCACCAAAUUAGGAAUGACGUUCACACCUUCAAGUAUAAAGAUUUAGAGAGCUAUCCUGAGGCAUGGGAGAGGUUCUAGAAUUUUUUCAGAAAAUGUCCCAGCCUUGACAUUCCCAAGCAGGCUCAACAAUAUCUUUUCUACUACGGUCUAAAACAAGAGUUCAGAAAUAUGAUAGAUGCUUCAGCGGGAAGAUCGGAUAUGAAACUUGAUGUUGGUGAGGCAUAUGACCUAUAUGAAAAAAUAGUUGGAAACCAAUCGAUGUGGCCAACUGAUAGGGAAGCUCCAAGGAAAACUUCAGGGUUACACAACGUAGAUAUAGUGACAGCAUUGGCCGCACAAAUGGAAGUUCUUACAAUGAAAAUGGACAAUCUAUCUAAGUCAGUCAACAUGGUACACCAAUCGUCACCUACUUAGGAAGGCUCCGGAGCGAAUCAUGCUAGUACACACUGCCCUUUGGCAUCUACACAUGUUAGUCAAUCCGAAGAAGUAAGCUACGCACAGAACUUUCAAAGAUAGCAAAAUAAUCCUUUUUCCAACACAUUUAAUCCGGGUUGGAAGAACCAUCCAAAAUUUUCAUGGUCCAAUAAUUAAGGACAAGAACAGGGAGGAAGCAAUCAGAAUAAACCACCAGCGUUCCAACAGCAACAACAGCAAGGGAGAAGGCCAUCGUUGGAGGAUUUUCUGGCUCAAUACAUUACUAAAACUGAGACCAACUUUUAAAACCAACAAGUCUCGAUCAAGAAUUUGGAACAACAGGUUGGACAAAUUGCAGCCACACUAUUUGGUAUAGCUCAAGGGACGUUACCUAGCAACACCGAGACAAACCCUAAGGAGCAAGUCAAAGCAAUCACUACACGUAGUGGGGUCCAAUUACCAGAAAUACAUGUAAAGCGGUCAGCAACUGUCAUAGAAAAGGCACCUACUAUGGGCGAGGAGCAAGUGGAUGAAUCAGACAAAGUCUCAGGAAAAAAUCAAGUUGAGUCAUCAGAUAGUCCACAGGUGAAGGCAACUGCUCCUGUCAAAGCAUAUGUUCAUCCAAUCCCAUUUCUACAGAGAUUGCAAAAACAUAAGCGCGACGAGCAAUUCCAGAAAUUUUUGGAUGUGUUCAAGAAGCUGAACAUUAACAUACCAUUUGCUAAAGCUUUAGCUCAAAUGCCCGCUACGCUAAGUUCAUGAAAGAUAUUCUAUCAAAUAAGAGGAAGCUGGAAGACAAUGAAACAGUCAUACUUACUGAGGAGUGUAGCGCAAUUCUCCAACACAAAUUACCACAAAAAUUAAAAGAUCCAGGGAGUUUUACUAUUCCUUGUCACAUUGGUAAUUUGUAUAUAGAUAAGGCAUUGUGUUAUCUAGGAGCUAGCAUUAAUUUAAUGCCCUUAUCUCUUUUCCGGAAACUAGGUUUGGAGGAAGCAAAACCGACUACAAUUUCGCUGCAAUUGGCUGACAGGUCAAUCAAACACCCUCGUGGUAUUUGUGAAGAUAUUUUGGUGAAGGUUGACAAGUUUAUCUCCCCAACGGACUUCAUUAUUUUGGAUAUGGAAGAAGAUAGAGGUUUUCCCCUCAUAUUGGGUCAUCCAUUUUUGGCCAUGGGAAGAGCUCUGAUAGAUGUACAAAAGGGUCAGUUGAUAUUGAGGUUAAAUGAAGAAGAAAUGACAAUCAACAUGUUUAAAGCUUUCAGAUUUCAGAGCGAACCGGAUUCUCGCAUGCAGAUUGAUGUAAUAAAAGAAGUGGUGUCAGAAACAUUCAAACUAGAUCACCCUCAGGAUCUGCUUGAGUCUUUUUUAGUGCAUUCGCAAGAUUUACCAUCAGAAAAGGAGAAAGUAGAAGAAUGUCCACAUUAUUUGGUAGCCAUACCACCAUUUUUCAAACAACUACGAUUGGAGCUCGGUGAAAGGCCCUCAACACCUUUGCCAUCUAUACAGCAAGAUCCAAAUCUUGAACUCAAAUAGUUUCCAACCCAUCUUCGCUAUGCGUACUUGGGGGAAAAGAAUUCACUUCCAGUAAUUUCUCAAACAAUCUUACAGAAGUGGAGGAGUAUCAGUUGUUGAGGGUACUUCGAGAGCAUAAGACAGCAAUAGGAUGGACGAUGUCUGAUAUAAAAGGGAUCAGCCCUUCGCUUUGCAGGCAUAAAAUACUGAUGGAAGAUGAUUACAAACCUUCAAUUGAGCAUCAACGCAGAUUAAAUCUGACUAUGUAGGAAGUGAUAAGGAAAGAGGUAUUAAAGCUUCUGGAUGCAGGGAUCAUCUAUCCCAUAUCAGACAGCCAUUGGGUCAGUCCAGUAUAGGUAGUGCCGAAAAAAAGGAGGAAUCACAGUGGUUCCAAACGAAAACAAUGAGCUCAUCCUGACAUACACAGUCACGGGUUGGAGAGUUUGUAGAUUUUGUUGCAUUUUUUUGAAAAAAAUUCAUAGUCAGCCUUGGUGAUAGAUUUGACAUCUAGUCAGCAUCUAUCAUCGGCGCACGUCACGUUUCGGGUCCACUAGGGUGAUUCGGGACGUGUUGUGUUAAAAAAGAGAAAGAUAUCAAAUAUCUGGAGUUUCUUUUUGUAUAUUAUAUGGAUGAUCCGAUCCCCAAGCUUACAUGAACCAUCAAAGAAAGUCCUACAAAUGAAGACUUGGGCCUGCCAAGCCUAAAUUCAAUUCAAUGAAAGGCAGACCCCAUAGAAGUAAGCCUGAGCCAGCUCAGUGAAGACUCACUUUCCCCUUCCUUUCAUUGAUUAGAUGCUAGAGAGACUUGUUGAACAUACUUACUACUACUUCUUGAAUGAUUAUUCGGGGUAUAACCAGACUCCUAUAGUGCCAGAUGAUCAAGAGAAGACGACCUUUACUUGCCCUUAAGCCACUUUUGCUUAUAGGAGGAUGCCCUUCGGUCUUUACAAUGCUUCUGUCACAUUUCAACGUUGUAUGAUGUCUAUUUCCUCGGACAUGGUGGGACACAUCAUUGAGGUAUUUAUGGAUGAUUUCUCAGUAUUUGGAAAAUCAUUUAAAGAGUACUUUGAACAUUUGGAAAAAGUGUUACAGCGGUGCGAAGGCACAAACCUUGUAUUAAAUUGGGAAAAAUGUCAUUUCAUGGUUUGGGAAGGGAUUGUGUUAGGACAUUUAAUUUCAGCACGGGGUAUUGAGGUUGAUAGAGCUAAGAUACAAGUCAUCAAAAAACUACCACCGCCAGUAACAGUAAAAGGAGUUAGAAGUUUCCUAGGUCACGCUGGGUUCUACCGUCGCUUCAUAAAAGACUUUUCCACAAUCUCGAAGCCAUUGUGCAAUUUACUAGAAAAAGGGGCCCCAUUUCACUUUUUUGAGAAGUGCUUGACAGCUUUUAAUACCUUAAAAGAAAAAUUGGUUUCUGCUCCAGUAUUGGCUUCUCCAGAUUGGAAUUAUCCGUUCGAGCUUAUGUGUGAUGCCAGUGAUGACGUAGUGGGCGUAGUGUUGGGUCAACGAAAGGAGAAAAAUUCUCAUGUAAUUUACUAUGUUGGUAAGACUUUGGAUGAGGCUCAAAUGAAUUAUGUGACUACAGAAAAAGAGCUAUUGGCAGUAGUGUUCACCGUUGACAAAUUCAGAUCAUACUUGAUUGGGUUAAAAGUGAUUGUCUUUACAGAUCAUUCAGCGUUAAAAUAUCUAAUGAGCAAGAAGGAUGCAAAGUCGAGACUUAUUCGUUGGAUACUCCUAUUGUAAGAGUUUGAUCUGGAAAUUAGAGAUAAAAAGGGGAGUAAGAAUGUUGUUUCAGAUCACGUCUCACGCCUUGAAUCACAUGAGUCAAAUCCUACAUUGGAGAUCAAUAAAGUCUUUCCUGAUGAAAUGCUCUUUCAGAUUAUCACUACACCAUGGUACGCCGAUUAUGUCAAAUAUUUGGCCUGCUCCAUCAUCCCACCAGACUACUCGAGUCACCAAAAGAAGAAAUUCUUCAGUGACCUAAAACACUACUUUUGGGAUGAUCCAAUUGUUUACAGAAAGGGUCCAGAUCAGAUCAUACGCUGUUGUGUACCAGAAGUAGAACAACAUCAAGUAUUAGAAUCAUGUCACUCUGCUCCGUAUGGGUUCACUUUGCAGCAGCCAAGACAGCAGUAAAGGUACUACAAUCAGGAUUUUAUUGGCCUACAUUGUUCAAGGACGUCCAUUAUAUGGUGAAAUAUUGUGAUAAGUUUCAGAGGAUUGGAAACAUCUCAAGGAGGAAUGAGAUGCCUUUGAACAGUAUUUUGGAGGUUGAAAUAUUCGACGUUUGGGGCAUUGACUUCAUGGGACCAUUUCCUCCAUCCUAUGGUCAACAAUAUAUACUGGUGGCAGUGGACUACGUGUCUAAAUGGGUUGAAACUGUGGCUUUGCCAACUAAUAACGGUCGAAUAGUCACUCAAUUUCUAAAGAAAAACAUUUUCACGAGGUAUGGCACCCCGAGGGCAAUUAUUAGUGAUGGUAGAAAGCAUUUUUGUAAUCGCUUAUUUGCUUCGUUGUUGACCAAAUAUGGAGUGAAAUAUCGUGUCUCAACCCCAUACCAUCCUCAAACUAGUGGGCAAGUGGAAAUCUCCAAUAGAGAGUUAAAGAAGAUUCUUGAAGCUACGGUCAAUGCAUCACGUAAAGAUUGGGCUAAGAAAUUGGAUGAUGCACUUUGGGCAUAUAGAAUAGCAUUUAAGACUCCAAUUGGCAUGUCUCUAUAUUGACUGGUAUUUGGAAAGGCUUGUCAUUUGCCGAUUGAGUUAGCGCAUAAAGCAUACUGGGCGACACACUUGCUCAAUUUCAAUAUGAGGGCAGCAGGAGAAAAGAAGGUUCUACAACUUCAUGAGCUUGAUGAGUUUCGUUUGGAUUCGUAUGAAAAUGCAAAGAUUUAUAAGGAAAAGACCAAAAGAUGGCAUGACAGACAUAUAAGGGAGGAGGAUUUUGAGGUUGGUCAGCAAGUAUUGAUGUUCAAUUCACGCCUCAAGCUUUUUCCGGGAAAGCUAAAGUCUAGGUGGUUGGGUCCAUUCAUAGUAGUAGAUGUGUUUCCACAUGGUACUGUGGAAGUGGUGUCUCAAGAUCAAUAAAGGAGGUUCAAGGUAAAUGGACAGCGGUUGAAAGUUUAUUGGGGAGGUGACUACUCCAGUGAAAAAGCAAUCGUACCACUUGAUAAUGUAGAGUAGCCAGGACAACAAAGUCUAGCUAAUGACUAUAAAUUAAGCGUUUAUUGGGAGGCAACCCAAUUUCUAAACCUUUUAUUUAUUUAUUUUUUUGCAUCGCAUUGCAUAUAUAUUUGUUUUAAUUAUCAGUUGUAUAAUUAGAGUUAGGCACAUUUAAAUUUAUAGAGUGUCAUCAUCCGAUCAUGUUUUCAUUGAGGCUUUUAAAUAUAAUGUUCGUUAUUUCGAAUGUUUGGGCUAAGUAAUGCAUGUUUUGAAUUAUUUGAUCUCCACUGUUUGAUUUGAUUGUCAUAUGCAGGAACAUGACAUCAUGGAACACUCAAACCAACAUCGAUCAAGAGAAAAGCAUGAUGAGAUAGAUUGUCUAGCCAUCACCUACAGUAUCUUCCACGUUCAAUUGAAAAAUUCGGGGAGUACCUUCGUCAUUUUUCUCCCCAUCCCCUUAUAUUCUUAAUUAUAUUUUAAGACAUUGAGAACAAUAUUUGGUUUAAGUUUGGGGUGGGAAAGUUUUCGUAUGUUUUCGUGAGUUAUUUACAUAUGUUUAAUAAAAAAAAUAAAAAAAUAAAAAUACUAAUAAAAAAUUUUUUAAAAAAUAAAACUAAUAAUAAAAAAUCGUUAAUUUUUAUUUAUUUUUGAUUGUGUGCUUGUGUGGGUUAGACGGUUUGACUGACAAUGAUGAUUAAAUUUGAGAUUUGGUGUUGAUUUAUGAAUUGUGGAUAGGGAGCAUGCUAGAUUGAUUGAAGCUUGAACCUGCAAAACUUGAUAUUAUACAUGCACUAGAAUUGAGUUUGACAUUAUGAUGAAGUGAGUUGAUUCGUGCACUUGAUAGAUUGAAUUAGUUGGACAUAGAUGCUUUACCAAAAUCAUACUAACUAAUUAUCCUUAGACCAAAUUUAGCACAAUUUGGAAAGAUCUUACUGUUGUAGGAAAAUGCGGAUGUGAAUGUAGAUUCCUUGUGUGAAAAUUUUGUGUAGAUUGUCUGAGAUUAAUAGGAUAAAAUUUGGUGAAAGUCUUAAAUUAGAGGUCAAUUUGCUUGAAUAGGUGUGUGAUAAGGGGCAUUGCACUAAUCAAGGCAUAUUUUUUGAAAUUUAAAAUUUUUCUAAAGGGCUUUUAUGACUCGAGCAAUUAAGCCUACAAGGGUAUCUUAAAACCUGGUGCCCUAAAGUCAUCUUACUUGGGAGCUAUCGGCCUAAAGCUCGUUACAGGGGUCAUUUAAAAAGCAAUCAGAGAUGAAAUUACCCUAAAAAAAUUAUUCUCUUCGAAGCCUUUUUGACUCGGGUAAUUAAACCUGUAAGGGUAUUUAAAAACAUGGUGCCUUAAAGUCAUCUGAUUUGGGAGUCAUCGGCCUAAAGCCUGGUACAUGGGUCAUCUAGAAAGCUUAAAAAAGAGUGCAAAAAAAAAAAAUUACUAUUGCCUUGUAAGUCCCAACACUUGUUCGAGAGAAUUUGACUUUCAAUAAAUGAUAAUUAGCCUAAUUGAAUCUUGGCAGUCGAAGCAAUCAAAUAAUUUGAGAGUCCUUAAUCAUUGAUGUGUUAACCUGCAACUAGUGACAUCCUCCUGAAUUGGAGAGGUGAGGAUAAUGAUGAAAAUUCAAUCUUAGAUCACACACUAGGAAAAGAGUGCAAAAAAGAAUAAGUUUGAGGUGUAUAAAUCUUACGAGAGAUGAUAGGAUAUAUUUGACCAUAGAGGGUCAGGAAUUCGAUCAACUUGUGAAUUCAUUAAUGUCUACUUAGUUCUUCACACACACAUGUCGAUUUUGUAUUGGACAUGAGGAUAUUAGCUUGGUAUUGUAGCUUUGAAGUAGUUUGUAGAUUUCAUGCCGUGAUCUCAAAUCCAUAGGUAAAAAGCUAAACUGCCCAACCAAAUAUUUUUGCAUGAUUGUGUGUUUGUUGUUAUUUAUGUUAUAAUUUUGUUCGAGGAUGAACAAAGGUUUAAGUUUGGGGGUGUUUGAUAAGUGCAAUUUGUGCACUUAUUUAUGCCACAUUAUUAAACUUUUCGUUCGGUCACAUUAUAAAUUUUUGUUUAAUUUAGGUUAAUUUUCUUUGUGAUUUUAGUAACGGAUCCAUUUGCAACAAUUGGAAAGGAAGAAAGACAAAAUCGAGUAAAAUCUAUGAUUUGUGAUUAAAUUCCACAAGUUUGACUUUGAGGAGGACAUUGGCCGCACAAAUAAAAUUGUAUCAAUGAUUAACUUGCAUCAGUUGGAAGAAAUGAGGACUUGAAGAAAGAAUAAUAAUUGGGCCUCAAUUGGACCAUGAAUUGGAAUUUGUUUGCACCAUUAUUUGGACUUCUAAUUAGAUACAAAGGAAGAAGGGUUGCGGCUGUAGGAGAAAUAUAUGUUGAUAGGCAAUUUGGAGGGUGUUGGUUAAUGAUAUAAUUAUAUAUACAAGGCAGAGAAAAAAAGAGAUGGAAGCCCUUUUUAGUGGAGUUAACUUUAGGGAUUAAAAAAAAAAGAGAACUAGUGGCUGCAAUUGGUGGUGCUUGGGGGGAAUAAAAUUUGGGUAGCUAAUUUCAAAAAGAGAUAUACACACAUACCCACAGAAACACGUCUAUUAGGAGCUGGGAGUCAAAAAGAGGAAUUUAUAUACACAAAAAGACAGCUGUUUUGGAGAGAAAUAAGGCUGCUAACCGGUGGAAUAACACAAACAUUAGGCUGCUUUGGGAAUAAACUGCAGACACAUACACCCGCCAACAUUGGGAGGAGGAAGACACAUUAAAAAGGUUACCUGCUGCUGGGAAUUCACAUACACACGCACACAGAAAAAGAGGAGAAGACACGGAAAUAUAGAGAGAUAAAAGACGGCGGUUGGAUGUGGAAAUUGAAGAUACACGCAGAAGGCUGAAAAUUGGAAGAAAAGGGGCAGCUUUAAGUGGAAAAUUAAUCACUUGUCGUCAAAUCUCGGUGAUGUCUUUUCAGUUUUAUUUGUUUAAUCCCAACAUUAUGUUAGGCUAAAUAAUUUCAUGUAUUGGAUGGAUAACAACAUUGUUUAAUUCUUAGUUUUAAUUCGAGACUUGAUAUUUUUAUUUUAAUUCAUGUAUUGUGAUUCCAUUGACAUGCAUAUUUACAUCGUUUUAAUGUUUGCGAACAAUUAGGACAAUAAGUUGCUUAUUCGUAGUGUUGAAAAAUUUACGGUAGGUAGAAUACUUUUAUUGGAACACACGGACAAUAAAUAUUAGGAAUAAUAUUUGUGGCGUGUGCGAUCUUAUGUGAUAAUUUUAAAUAUCAAUGCAUGAUUGCCAUAUGAAGUCGGAUUAGGAAUAGGAUCGACUCGUGGUAAUCAUAUGUUUAUUAUAUUUUGGGAAAGAAUAAUAAAUAAUAGUGGAAUUAUCGAUCGUCGCAACUGCAUAAAUUGAGAUAAUUAUUAUUGGUUGAGAAUUAGAAUUAAGAAUUGAUCAGUAGCGUCGGAAAUCCAAUACGUCCGCACAUAUGAUUUUUACACUAACUUUCAUUGCUUUUACAAGUUUUAGUUAUAAAAAAAAGAAAAAAAUUAUUAUUUAGCUAUUCCUUCGAUUGUCGUUUAGUUACAAAUACGAAUUUAAAUAUUUCAAAUAUACUAAAAUUGAUCAUUAUUCCCUGUGGGACGAUAACUCUCUCAUCACGAUUAUUACUUGUACAACGAACUCGUACGUUUGCAAGAAUUUGACGAACAAUCGCGACCAUCAACUGGGGUAGAAGUACUGAUCCAUGUCCCUGGAAGUACGUCUCGUACAACCUAUUGCUUCUCUCAAUGGCUGUAUCGUCGUCCGUAAUCCUCAGUCCAGUGAUCAAGCUCAACUUAUACAUCGAGAAAUUGACGACUUUGCCCCUAAGGUCGAAAUGAAGGAAAUCGCCGUCGACUGGCCUCAGAAGCCGACAUAGAAGUGUAUCGAUGUUCUGUUCUGAGUACUGGGGUUCUCGCA
rnacentral:lncRNA from 1 species